UCCUCCUUACAUAACACAAAAACAACUGAUCCAGCUUGGCACCAACUUUCUCCUCCAAAGUCACCUUUGUCUGAAAUCUAGCACCUCAGGUUUCAGUCAAAUACCUUGCAGAUGAGAAAAGGUUUCUUAACAAAAAUUUCUUGUAAUUUUACGACAGUGUUCAUUCCCGGCAGCCUCGGAGAAUCCUUUUUUCAUAGGUUGAAGAUCAGGAUUUAUAACACAGAACAAAUGUGGCCUGAUCACAAAGCUUAUGUAUUGGGGCCAGUUAGAAGGAGAAGAGAGAAAUUUGGUCACCUUGGAGUCUGGAGAAGGCAGCUGGCCCCACAGCUGGCCAGACCGCCAUCCAAGCAGGGGGCCUCUCUGAGAACAAAAUCCAGAAGCCAAAAUACAUGGGUCAGGUGGAAAA